ACACAUGCAAGUCGAGCGGAAAGGCCCUUCGGGGUACUCGAGCGGCGAACGGGUGAGUAGACACGUGAGUAAUCUGCCCUGCGCUCUGGGAUAGCCACCGGAAACGGUGAUUAAUACCGGAUAGGACCACUUCACGCAUGUGAUGGUGGUGGAAAGUUUUUUCGGCGCAGGAUGUGCUCGCGGCCUAUCAGCUUGUUGGUGAGGUAACGGCUCACCAAGGCUUUGACGGGUAACCGGCCUGAGAGGGUGACCGGUCACACUGGGACUGAGACACGGCCCAGACUCCUACGGGAGGCAGCAGUGGGGAAUAUUGGACAAUGGGCGGAAGCCUGAUCCAGCAACGCCGCGUGAGGGAUGACGGCCUUCGGGUUGUAAACCUCUUUCAGUACCGACGAAGCGCAAGUGACGGUAGGUACAGAAGAAGGACCGGCCAACUACGUGCCAGCAGCCGCGGUAAUACGUAGGGUCCGAGCGUUGUCCGGAAUUAUUGGGCGUAAAGGGCUCGUAGGCGGUUUGUCGCGUCGGGAGUGAAAACACCGGGCUUAACUCGGUGCUUGCUUUCGAUACGGGCAGACUAGA
rnacentral:rRNA from 1 species